UCCACUGAGAUUCAGCCC
rnacentral:snRNA from 1 species